UACGUAGGUGGCAAGCGUUGUCCGGAUUUAUUGGGUUUAAAGGGUGCGUAGGCGGUCCUAUAAGUCAGUUGUGAAAUACGGCAGCUUAACUGUCGAGGUGCAAUUGAUACUGCAGGACUUGAGUACAGACGAAGUAGGCGGAAUUGACGGUGUAGCGGUGAAAUGCUUAGAUAUCGUCAAGAACACCGAUAGCGAAGGCAGCUUACUAGACUGUAACUGACGCUGAUGCACGAAAGUGUGGGGAUCAAACAGG
rnacentral:rRNA from 1 species